UAGUGAUACCUUUUAAGCAUGAAGAUAUAGAAAACAUCAUGUAGGCUAGCAAAUUCUUGGGGCAAUGCGGUACACCACAGGACCUAUACGUUCCAAAAUCUCAAAAGACCCAACAAAUCAUGGACUCAACUUUUCACUCUUUCUAAACUGCAUUUUUUAUAUGGAAAGACCUUGACGAAAACGUGGUCACUAAUAGCAAAUUUCAAAACUCUCCUUCUAUUUUUAGCAUAAUUCUUCUACUAACUCUAGGCAGUAUCGAGGUUUUUACGGAUGAUGUCAACCUUGUCAAUAGUUCCCUUGACGUAAUCUAUUCAAGAGAGAUACGUGUUCCCAAUUUUAUUACAACAUGUUGGGGAUCGAUAAGGCCUAUCAUAGAGAACUUAAAAUGAAGCCAUACAAAGACUGAAGUUAUAAAUUUUGUUGUAAGCACUCGGUAAGGGGGAGAUGUUGAUCCCAACUGCCACCAAAGUCCAGUACAUAAGCACCAGCAUGCCUUUUAGUGUUUGAUUGGUUCGUUUAGACUAUCCAUCAGUUUAUGGAUCGUAAGAAGUAUUGAAGUACAAACUGGG
rnacentral:lncRNA from 1 species